rnacentral:lncRNA from 1 species
CACCACCAUAUGUAUACAAAUCACCUCCACCACCUUCACCCUCUCCUCCACCACCAUACGUGUACAAAUCACCUCCGCCACCUUCACCCUCUCCACCACCACCAUAUGUAUACAAAUCACCUCCUCCACCAUCACCAUCGCCGCCUCCACCAUACGUAUACAAAUCACCUCCGCCACCCUCACACUCUCCACCACCACCAUACAUAUACAAAUCACCUCCUCCACCAUCACCAUCGCCACCUCCACCAUACGUAUACAAAUCACCUCCCCCACCCUCGCACUCUCCACCGCCACCAUACGUAUAUUCAUCCCCAC